ACGGGGGUUGCAAGCGUUGUCCGGAAUUACUAGGCGUAAAGGGCAGGUAGGCGGAUCCAUAAGUUUUUUGUUAAAGGCGACGGCUUACCCGUUGUAAGGCAGGUGAUACUGUGGAUCUUGAAUAUGGUUAAGGAAGACAGAAUUCGUAAUGUGGCGGUUGAAUGCGUAGAUAUUACACAGAACACCGAUUGCGUAGGCAGCUUACUGAGCCGACAUUGACGCUGAGGCACGAAAGUGUGGGGAUCGAACAG
rnacentral:rRNA from 1 species